rnacentral:rRNA from 1 species
UACGGGGGGGGCAAGCGUUGUUCGGAAUUACUGGGCGUAAAGGGCGCGUAGGCGGCCUGCUAGGUCGGACGUGAAAUCCCUCGGCUCAACCGGGGAACUGCGUCCGAUACUGGCGAGGCUUGAAUCCGGGAGAGGGAUGUGGAAUUCCAGGUGUAGCGGUGAAAUGCGUAGAGAUCGGGAAGAACAUCGGUGGCGAAAGCGCUCUACUGGACCGCAACUGACACUGAGGGACGAAAGCUAGGGGAGCGAAUGGG